rnacentral:lncRNA from 10 species
GGAAAGCUCCAGAAGCAGCAAGGAAGCCAGGCGUAAGUUGGGAGCGACUGAGCCACUCCAGGAGGAGGUGUGGGCCCACGGCGUGUUGGAGGUGGAGCCACAGGACCUGUCCAUAGGUUGGAUGCUGUGUGGGUGACAGAGAGAAACCGGGGCUCACGGCCUGGGCAGCGGGACGGGCGGAGUCGUCCUCACCUGUGCUGGGGACCCUGUGGGAGCAGCAGGCUUCCGAGCACGUGCUGGACCCCGGCGUCUCCGGCUGCACCGAGUGGUCAGGACAUUGAGGCCGGGUCAGGGAGCGUGAGAUACCGG